rnacentral:misc_RNA from 1 species
UCCGGUUUGGCACCGGCAGUCUCCCUAGAGUUCCCGGCUUGACCCGCUGGCAACUAAGGAUAGGGGUUGCGCUCGUUGCGCCACUUAAGGCAACACCUCACGGCACGAGCUGACGACAGCCAUGCAGCACCUAGUUUCGUGUCAUUGCUGACGCAAACGUUUCUGCUUGCUUCACUAACUUUCAAGCCCAGGUAAGGUUCCUCGCGUAUCAUCGAAUUAAACCACAUGCUCCUCCGCUUGUGCGGGCCCCCGUCGAUUCCUUUGAGUUUCAAUCUUGCGACCGUACUCCCCAGGCGGAUGACUUCACGCGUUAGCUGCGUUACUAAAGGAUUUAACUCCUCCAACAACUAGUCAUCAUCGUUUAGGGCGUGGACUAC